rnacentral:rRNA from 1 species
UACGUAGGGGGCUAGCGUUAUCCGGAUUUACUGGGCGUAAAGGGUGCGUAGGUGGUUUCUUAAGUCAGAGGUGAAAGGCUACGGCUCAACCGUAGUAAGCCUUUGAAACUGGGAAACUUGAGUGCAGGAGAGGAGAGUGGAAUUCCUAGUGUAGCGGUGAAAUGCGUAGAUAUUAGGAGGAACACCAGUUGCGAAGGCGGCUCUCUGGACUGUAACUGACACUGAGGCACGAAAGCGUGGGGAGCAAACAGGAUUAGAUACCCGUGUAGUCCCUGAG